UGCCAGCUGGUGGAUGGCUCGGCUCGGAUGCCGACGAAGGACGUGCCAAGCUGCGAUAAGCUCCAGGGAGCCGCAUGGAGGCGAAGAACUGGAGAUGUCCGAAUAGGAAUCCUCACAGCAAUUGCUUUGCGCAAUGGGGAACGCCCCGGAUUGAAACAUCUUAGUAGGGGCAGGAAGAGAAAGCGAAUGCGAUGUCGUUACUAACGGCGAGUGAACGCGACACAGCCCAAACUGAAGCUCUCACGAGCAAUGUGGUGUUCGGGCUGGUACCAAGUGACCGUUGACUACGAGAAGUCUCCUGGAACGGAGCGCGAAACAGGGCGACAGCCCCGUAUCGCCGUCGACAGUCGCGGACCAGUACCCAGAGUAUCGGGGGUUGGAUCUCCCUCGUGAACGUCCCAGGCAUCGACUGGGAAGGCUAAACACUCUCCGAGACCGAUAGCGAACAAGUAGUGCGAACGAACGCUGAAAAGCACCCCGAGAAGGGAGGUGCAACAGGGCCUGAAAUCAGUUGGCGAUGGAGCGACGGGGCACAAAAGGUCCCGAGAGAAACGACACACCCGCGAAGGUGCAGUAGGGAUCUCGGGAAGCCGGUGUUCCGUCGUACGUUUUGAAAAACGAACCAGGGAAUGUACUCGUCCGGCGAGCCUAACCCGAUUAUCGGGGAAGGCGCAGGGAAACCGAUACGGCCGCAGCAUUGCGAGGGCCACCGUGUUCAAGCGCGGGGAGUCGAGCGGGUACGACCCGAAACCAGGUGAUCUAUGCGCGGACAGGGUGAAGCGCACCGAAAGGUGCGUGGAGGCCCGUUAGGGUUGGUGUCCUACAAUACCCUCCCGUGAUCUGCGUAUAGGGGUGAAAGGCCCAUCGAACCUGGAAACAGCUGGUUCCGACCAAAACAUGUCGAAGCAUGACCUCCACCGAGGUAGUCCGUGCGGUAGAGCUACCGAUUGGAAGCGCCUCCUUCGAGAGAAGUAGGCCUUCCUGUCGAACUCCGAACGUACGGACGCUGUGGACGUGGGGAGUCCGGUGUCCUGGGGUAAGCCUGGGCACCAUGAGGGGAACAACCCAGAGCUGGGCUAAGGACCCAAAAUGUGGACUAAGUGCGAUUGGAAGGUUGUCUCGAGCCAUAGACAGCCGGGAGGUGAGCUUAGAAGCAGCUACCCUCUAAGAAAAGCGUAACAGCUUACCGGCCGAGGUUUGAGGCGCCCAAAAUGAUCGGGGCUCAAGUCCACUUCCGAGACCCAGCGGCGCGGGUGACACCGCGAUUCCGUAGGUCGGCGUUCUGUUCGGGUGGAAGCUCGGGUGAGAACUCGCGUGGACCGUACAGAAACGAAAAUCCUGGUCACAGUAGCAGCGAAACUCGGGUGCGAACCCCGAG
rnacentral:ncRNA from 1 species